rnacentral:rRNA from 1 species
UACAGAGGUGGCAAGCGUUGUUCGGAAUUACUGGGCGUAAAGGGCGCGUAGGCGGUUCGUUAAGUCCUGUGUGAAAUCCCCCGGCUCAACUGGGGAACUGCACAGGAAACUAGCGGGCUUGAGUUCGGGAGAGGGAAGCGGAAUUCCGGGUGUAGCGGUGAAAUGGCGUAGAUAUCCGGAGGAACACCGGUGGCGAAGGCGGCUUCCUGGACCGACACUGACGCUGAGGCGCGAAAGCUAGGGGAGCAAACGGG